rnacentral:misc_RNA from 1 species
GAUGAAGAACGUAGCGAAAUGCGAUACGUAAUGUGAAUUGCAGAAUUCAGUGAAUCAUCGAAUCUUUGAACGCAUAUUGCGCUCUCUGGUAUUCCGGAGAGCAUGCUUGUUUGAGUAUCAGUAAACACCUCAACUCCCUUUUCUUUUUUGAAAUGGGAGCUGGACUUGAGUGAUCCAACACUUUUCUCACUGGAAAGUGGCGGGUCACUUGAAAUGCAGGUGCAGCUGGACUUUUCUCUGAGCUAUAAGCAUAUCUAUUUAGUCUGCCUAAAAAACAGAUUAUUACCUUUGCUGCAGCUAACAUAAAGGAGAUGAGUUCUUGUGCUGACUGAUGCAGGAUUCACAGAGACAGCUUUGCGGCUGACUUUGUAAACUCGAUCUCAAAUCAAGUAAGACUACCCGCUGAACUUAAGCAUAUCAAUAAGCGGAGGA